rnacentral:rRNA from 1 species
CUAGGGGAACGAAUGGGAUUAGAUACCCCAGUAGUCCUAG